rnacentral:rRNA from 1 species
AUUGAGCGCUGGCGGCAUGCCUUACACAUGCAAGUCGAACGGCAGCACGGGUGCUUGCCCCUGGUGGCGAGUGGCGAACGGGUGAGUAAUACAUCGGAACAUGUCCUGUAGUGGGGGAUAGCCCGGCGAAAGCCGGAUUAAUACCGCAUACGAUCUACGGAUGAAAGCGGGGGACCUUCGGGCCUCGCGCUAUAGGGUUGGCCGAUAGCUGAUUAGCUAGUUGGUGGGGUAAAGGCCUACCAAGGCGACGAUCAGUAGCUGGUCUGAGAGGACGACCUGCCACACUGGGACUGAGACACGGCCCAGACUCCUACGGGAGGCAGCAGUGGGGAAUUUUGGACAAUGGGCGAAAGCCUGAUCCAGCAAUGCCGCGUGUGUGAAGAAGGCCUUCGGGUUGUAAAGCACUUUUGUCCGGAAAGAAAUCCUUGGCUCUAAUACAGUCGGGGGAUGACGGUACCGGAAGAAUAAGCACCGGCUAACUACGUG